GGAGAGGUGCCAGAAUGGUUAACGGAGCAGUUUGCUAAACUGUCGUACGUGUCAAAGCGUAUUGUGGGUUCGAGUCCCACCUUCUCCG
rnacentral:tRNA from 1 species